GACGAACGCUGGCGGCGUGCCUAAUACAUGCAAGUAGAACGCUGAAGGCGGAGCUUGCUCUUCUGGAUGAGUUGCGAACGGGUGAGUAACGCGUAGGUAACCUGCCUCGUAGCGGGGGAUAACUAUUGGAAACGAUAGCUAAUACCGCAUAACAGUAGAUGUUGCAUGACAUUUGCUUAAAAGGUGCAAUUGCAUCACUACCAGAUGGCCCUGCGUUGUAUUAGCUAGUUGGUGGGGUAACGGCUCACCAAGGCGACGAGACAUAGCCGACCUGAGAGGGUGAUCGGCCACACUGGGACUGAGACACGGCCCAGACUCCUACGGGAGGCAGCAGUAGGGAAUCUUCGGCAAGGGACGGAAGUCGGACCGAGCAACGCCGCGGGAGUGAAGAAGGUUUUCGGAUCGUAAAGAUCUGUUGUAAGAGAAGAACGGGUGUGAGAGUGGAAAGUUCACACUGUGACGGUAUCUUACCAGAAAAGGACGGCUAACUACGUU
rnacentral:rRNA from 1 species